rnacentral:misc_RNA from 1 species
ACGAUCCAGCCGAAGGACAUCCAGCUCGCUCGUCGUCUCCGUGGCGAGC